UCUCCGUUGGUGAACCAGCGGAGGGAUCAUUACAGAGUUGCAAAACUCCCAAACCUUUGUGAACGUUACCUAUCCCGUUGCUUCUUAGGGCUGCCCGGUCCCCUCGCCCUGCGCCCCCCGUCCCCCCUUGGCGCCCCCCGGAAAUAAACCAAACCCUUGAAUUGCAUCACCCCUCUUAAUCUUCUAUACAGUAUAAGGCAAAACUUUCAACAACAGAUCUCUUGAUUCUAACAUCGCUAAAAAACGCAUCAUAUCAGAGGAUAACACGUCUGAACUCCC
rnacentral:misc_RNA from 1 species